CCAAGUUUCUGCCCUAUCAUGCUUUCGAUGGUAGUGUAUUGGACUACCAUGGCUCUCACGGGUAACAGGGAAUUAGGGUUCGAUUCCGGAGAAGGAGCCUGAGAAACGGCUACUACAUCUACGGAAGGCAGCAGGCGCGUAAAUUACC
rnacentral:rRNA from 1 species